UAUGAUGCGGCAGCUUACCAUGCAGUCGAACGAUGAACCGCUUUCGGGCGGGGAUUAGUGGCGAACGGGUGAGUAACACGUGGGCAAUCUGCCCUGCACUCUGGGACAAGCCCUGGAAACGGGGUCUAAUACCGGAUAUGACUGUCCGCCGCAUGGUGGAUGGUGUAAAGCUCCGGCGGUGCAGGAUGAGCCCGCGGCCUAUCAGCUUGUUGGUGAGGUAGUGGCUCACCAAGGCGACGACGGGUAGCCGGCCUGAGAGGGCGACCGGCCACACUGGGACUGAGACACGGCCCAGACUCCUACGGGAGGCAGCAGUGGGGAAUAUUGCACAAUGGGCGAAAGCCUGAUGCAGCGACGCCGCGUGAGGGAUGACGGCCUUCGGGUUGUAAACCUCUUUCAGCAGGGAAGAAGCGAGAGUGACGGUACCUGCAGAAGAAGCGCCGGCUAACUACGUGCCAGCAGCCGCGGUAAUACGUAGGGCGCAAGCGUUGUCCGGAAUUAUUGGGCGUAAAGAGCUCGUAGGCGGCUUGUCACGUCGGUUGUGAAAGCCCGGGGCUUAACCCCGGGUCUGCAGUCGAUACGGGCAGGCUAGAGUUCGGUAGGGGAGAUCGGAAUUCCUGGUGUAGCGGUGAAAUGCGCAGAUAUCAGGAGGAACACCGGUGGCGAAGGCGGAUCUCUGGGCCGAUACUGACGCUGAGGAGCGAAAGCGUGGGGAGCGAACAGGAUUAGAUACCCUGGUAGUCCACGCCGUAAACGGUGGGCACUAGGUGUGGGCAACAUUCCACGUUGUCCGUGCCGCAGCUAACGCAUUAAGUGCCCCGCCUGGGGAGUACGGCCGCAAGGCUAAAACUCAAAGGAUCUGACGGGGGCCCGCACAAGCGGCGGAGCAUGUGGCUUAAUUCGACGCAUCGCGAAGAAUCUUAUCAAGGGCUUGACAUACACCCGCAAACGUCUGGAGACAGGCGCCCCCUUGUGAUGGGUUAACAGUGGUGCAUGGCUGUCUUCACUUCUUGUCGUGAGAUGUAGGUUAAGUU
rnacentral:rRNA from 1 species